rnacentral:sRNA from 1 species
UACAAAAUUACAAAAUAUUUAGACAAUGAUUCAUAAAUUUAUCAUAAAUAAGAUCAAUUUUAAUAAAAUAAAUGAUUUUUUUUUACGACACGAGUUGGUGGAACGGGUUUGGCAGAACGUUACUUAAUAACAAUUGUAAACUAUAAAAUAUAUAGAUACAAUUUGCAAACUUUUAUAUAUGCUAAAUUUUAAAAAUAAAUUGUUCUCACGAUAUACUGCGGGUUAAAAUCUAGUAUU